rnacentral:rRNA from 1 species
UACGAAGGGGGCUAGCGUUGUUCGGAAUUACUGGGCGUAAAGCGCGCGCAGGCGGUCUUCCAAGUCAGUGGUGAAAGCCCGGAGCUCAACUCCGGAACUGCCAUUGAAACUGUAAGACUUGAGGAUGAGAGAGGUGAGUGGAAUUCCCAGCGUAGAGGUGAAAUUCGUAGAUAUUGGGAAGAACACCGGUGGCGAAGGCGGCUCACUGGCUCAUUACUGACGCUCAGGCGCGACAGCGUGGGGAUCAAACAGG